rnacentral:rRNA from 2 species
UAACAAGGUUUCCGUAGGUGAACCAGCGGAGGGAUCAUU